CACCCCCCCCCCCCCCACCAUACCAUCACAUUUCUCCUGGGUGUUCUGUGGAGUCGUGACAUUGUUUUGAACACACAUUCAAAAAGAUUAUCCACUGCAAGUAUAUGGCAGAACUCAAGGCUGAUGCAUUAACAGAAUUUGGACAUUUCCCGGUAUUUGUUAGGGGAAAAAAAAUCCUCAGAAAAAUACUUUCCUCUUGUACUGUUUUGCAUUUAAACUACAGUGUUUUGUCCUUUACGAAAACCACAAUCCAACUUCUGAAAUAUUCUAACUUUUUCUUCCCAAUGUUACAACUUUAGUCCCGCAAUGUGACGACUUUUGCUUUUCAAUGUUGAUUUCCCAUCGUUUGAUACGCACCCACCGCCCUUCAGUAUGGUCCUAAUGGUCAUGGAAGAAUGAAAAGACUGGUCCCAACGGUGACGCAACGAAUACACAGUGCAAAGCAAAGCAGUUUAGGAUGUAAUUUGAUACCCACUUAUUUGUAGUCACAUCAAACACUGAGUGAACUGUCUGCUAUUUUCACAACAACAAUAAUAAUAGUUAUGCGAAUAUUACUAUAUGCAGCCAGUGAGGUGUUAGCAAAUGUGAUUGAAAUAGCCGAUACACGUUUAGGGAACUUGAUAUAAGGCACAAUUCUCCACUUUUGGUGCGCAAAAUGGAGUCUGUUGUCAUCUCUCUGCGUUUAAAUAAUAAUGUCAACCGGCUUCAAGUGUAAUGAAAUGGGGCGACGGCUUCCGUGUAGCCGUCAGAAUCAUGAAAAUGCACAGUAUACAAACAAACACGUAAAAACAAAAAGGCGCACUAGCAUACACAUCUCGCAAUAGAUUCAAAAAUAUAUUUUACUUCUUGUACAAAUUAAAAGGCUUAUUUUCAAAUAAAUUAAGUCACCUUCAUAGAUCCUUGUAACUGUACUCAUUUAUCAGCAUAUUCCUUCUGG